GCAAAGUCGRARCGGUAGCACAGAAGAGCUUGCUCUCGGGGUGACGARUGGCGGGACGGGUGAGUAAUGUSUKGGGAAACUGCCUGAUGGAGAGGGAUAACUACUGGAAACGGUAASUAAUACCGCAUAACGUCGCAAGACCAAAAGAGGGGGRCCUUCGGGCCUCUUGCCAUCAGAUGUGCCCAGAUGGGAUUAGCUAGUAGGUGGGGUAACGGCUCACCUAGRCGACGAUCCCUAGCUGGUCUGAGAGGAUGWCCAGCCACACUGGAACUGAGACACGGUCCAGACUCCUACGGGAGGCARCAGUGGGGAAUAUUGCACAAUGGGCGCAAGCCUGAUGCAGCCAUGCCGCGUGUAUGAAGAAGGCCUUCGGGUUGUAAAGUACUUUCAGCGGGGAGGAAGGUGUUGUGGUUAAUARCCKCAGCAAUUGACGUUACCCGCAGAAGAAGCACCGGCUAACUCCGUGCCAGCAGCCGCGGUAAUACGGAGGGUGCAAGCGWUAAUCGGAAUUACUGGGCGUAAAGCGCACGCAGGCGGUCUGUCAAGUCGGAUGUGAAAUCCCCGGGCUCAACCUGGGAACUGCAUUCGAAACUGGCAGGCURGAGUCUUGUAGAGGGGGGUAGAAUUCCAGGUGUAGCGGUGAAAUGCGUAGAGAUCUGGAGGAAUACCGGUGGCGAAGGCGGCCCCCUGGACAAAGACUGACGSUCAGGUGCGAAAGCGUGGGGAGCAAACAGGAUUAGAUACCCUGGUAGUCCACGCCGUAAACGYUGUCGAUUUGGAGGUUGUGCCCUUGAGGCGUGGCUUCCGGAGCUAACGCGUUAAAKUYGGWCCKCYKMU
rnacentral:rRNA from 1 species